AAUUGGCCUCCGAUGGCCAUCUUCGGAAGAUAUUGGUCUUCCGACGGGACCAGCUUCAGUUGAAGUUUAUAUUCAAGCCGGCUGCUUCUAAUGGAUUAAGGGAGAUGGAGCUGAAAUAAACUCGCGGAGAUAAGUUGACAGUUCGAAGACAGAUCCCGAUAUGGAAUCCUGAUGCCGUAUCGCGACCGAUAACCGAUGCCGGAUCCGAAAGUUAAAU